UACAGAGGCCUCGAGCGUUAGGCGGAAUCACUGGGCUUAAAGCGUGUGUAGGCGGGCCGUUAAGUGUCUUGUGAAAUCCCCCGGCUCAACCGGGGAAUUGCUGGGCAUACUGGCGGUCUUGAGCGAUCUAGGGGCAGAUGGAACAAGUGGUGGAGCGGUGAAAUGCGUAGAUAUCACUUGGAACGCCAAAGGUGAAGACAGUCUGCUGGGGAUCUGCUGACGCUGAGACACGAAAGCCAGGGGAGCGAACGGG
rnacentral:rRNA from 1 species